rnacentral:misc_RNA from 1 species
GAUGAAGAACGCAGCGAAAUGCGAUACUUGGUGUGAAUUGCAGAAUCCCGUGAACCAUCGAGUCUUUGAACGCAAGUUGCGCCCGAAGCCACUAGGCCGAGGGCACGCCUGCCUGGGCGUCACACGCCGUUGCCCCCCCAUCUACUCCUUCGGGAUUGCGGGGGGGCGGAUGAUGGCCUCCUGUGCGCCUAGCCGCGCGGUUGGCAUAAAUACCAAGUCCUCGGCGACGCACGCCACGACAAUCGGUGGUUGCGAAACCUCGGUUGCCCGUCGUGUGCGUUCGUCGCGCAUCGAGGGCUCGAAAAAAUGCUCGGCUCCGGCCGGGCUUUCAACGCGACCCCAGGUCAGGCGGGGUUACCCGCUGAAUUUAAGCAUAUCAAUAAGCGGAGGA